GCGCCUGUAGCUCAGUGGAUAGAGCAACGGACUACGAAUCCGUGUGUCGCAGGUUCAAAUCCUGCCAGGCGCGCCA
rnacentral:tRNA from 1 species